GUAAAUCUCAAAGGAAUUGNCGUGGNCCNGCNCAAGCGGUGGAGUANCUGGGANANUUCGAUGCAACGNGAAGAACCUUCCCUCAGAUUUUCAUGUCGAGAANNAUCGGAAAGGGAAGAGAGCCUUCGGGAGCGCAACACAGGUGGUGCAUCAGGUCGUCAGCAUGUGUCAAAAGAUGUUGGGUUAAGUCCCGCAACGAGUGCAACCCACGUUUCUAUUUGCCAUCAUUAAGUCAUCCUCUCUAGCCAGACUGCCGUUGACAAACCGGAGGAAGGUGUGGANUCNGUCAAGUCAGCAUGCCCCGAGNUCAUUGGCAUACACAAUAGUUUCACUUCUACGGACAUAGGGAAGUUACCUCGCGAGGGGGUGCAAAUCUCGUAAACCGUGGCACAUUUCAGAUUGCAGGUUGCAACUCGCCUGCAAAAGGCGGAAUGGCUAGUAACGACAGGCCAGCAUAAGCAGGUGAAUCCGUUCCCGGCCUGAGCCCACACCGCCCGC
rnacentral:rRNA from 1 species